rnacentral:rRNA from 1 species
CCUACGGGUGGCAGCAGUGAGGAAUAUUGGUCAAUGGACGCAAGUCUGAACCAGCCAUGCCGCGUGCAGGAAGACGGCUCUAUGAGUUGUAAACUGCUUUUGUACGAGGGUAAACGCAGAUACGCGUAUCUGUCUGAAAGUAUCGUACGAAUAAGGAUCGGCUAACUCCGUGCCAGCAGCCGCGGUAAUACGGAGGAUUCAGGCGUUAUCCGGAUUUAUUGGGUUUAAAGGGUGCGUAGGCGGUCGGAUAAGUUAGAGGUGAAAUCCCGAGGCUCAACUUCGGAAUUGCCUCUGAUACUGUUCGGCUAGAGAGUAGGUGCGGUAGGCGGAAUGUAUGGUGUAGCGGUGAAAUGCUUAGAGAUCAUACAGAACACUGAUUGCGAAGGCAGCUUACCAAGCUACUUCUGACGUUGAGGCACGAAAGCGUGGGGAGCGAACAGGAUUAGAUACCCCAGUAGUC